UGGCCUAGUGGUUAAGGCUAUGGAUCGCCAAUCCAGAGACGGCGGGUUCGAUUCCCGU
rfam:Aedes albopictus isolate Foshan contig33703, whole genome shotgun sequence.